UCAAUUAAAGAGACGAGGAGAUUGUCAUAUAUGCAAUCCAAACGUUCAUAAGUAAAGUUUACCAACCCAAAAACAAUUGCAAGAGAUAAUUAAAAUUCAACAUAGAAUCCAAAAGACGAAAUGGUAAUACUACUAUAGUUGACGUGGUCCUUGAGAUGUGUUAUACGCCGGAGCACCUCCAAGAUCUCGUGCUCUGUUUCCCCUUACAUCAAAU
rnacentral:lncRNA from 1 species